rnacentral:rRNA from 1 species
AAACCUGCCCCAGAGUUGGGAAUAACCACGGGAAACUGUGGCUAAUGCCCAAUAUUCUCAUACUUCCGCAUGGGGGUGUGAGGAAAAGUCCGCUGCUCUGGGAUGGUCUCGCGGCGUAUCAGCUUGUUGGUGGGGUAAUGGCCUACCAAGGCAUCGACGCGUAGCUGGAGUGAGAGCUCGAACAGCCACACUGGGACUGAGACACGGCCCAGACUCCUACGGGAGGCAGCAGGGGGAAUCUUGCGCAAUGGGGAAAGCCUGACGCAGCGACGCCGCGUGUGGGAAGAAGGCCUUCGGGUUGUAAACCACUUUCAGGAGGGAAGAAGCGCAAGUGACGGUACCUCCAGAAGAAGCCCCGGCCAACUACGUGCCAGCAGCCGCGGUAAUACGUAGGGGGCAAGCGUUGUCCGGAAUUAUUGGGCGUAAAGAGCUCGUAGGCGGUUGUUUAAGUCGGGUGUGAAAUCUCAGGGCUCAACUCUGAAACUGCACCUGAUACUGGACGACUUGAGGCAGGUAGGGGAGAUCGGAAUUCCUGGUGUAGCGGUGAAAUGCGCAGAUUUCAGGAGGACCACCGGUGGCGAAGGCGGUUCUGCUGGCCCUGUUCUCACCCUGAGGAGCAAAAGUGUGGGGAGCAAAAGGGAUUAGAUACCCCCUGCAGUC